rnacentral:rRNA from 1 species
UACGUAGGGGGGCAAGCGUUGUCCGGAAUCAUUGGGCGUAAAGAGCGUGUAGGCGGCCCGAUAAGUCCGCUGUGAAAGUCCAGGGCUCAACCCUGGAAAGCCGGUGGAUACUGUCGGGCUAGAGUCCGGAAGAGGCGAGUGGAAUUCCUGGUGUAGCGGUGGAAUGCGCAGAUAUCAGGAGGAACACCGAUGGCGAAGGCAGCUCGCUGGGACGGUACUGACGCUGAGACGCGAAAGCGUGGGGAGCGAACAGG